GUCUCUGUAGCACAAAGGGUCAGUAUGUCUGGCUGUUAACCAGAAGGUUGGUGGUUUGAGCCCACCCAGAGAUG